rnacentral:rRNA from 1 species
UAGGGCAGAGGUGGAAGUGCAGUAAUGCAUGGAGCUGACUGUUACUAAUAGGUCGAGGGCUUAACCAAG